AGGCUGCACUGCACCACAGCAGCUUAGCCCCUGUCAUUGUAAAAGGGCGUUUCACUGAAUCCAACUGUGGUACUUUAACUGGAGCUGACUCAACAUCAAGUGAAACAACCCAUUCAUUUGCAGGUGUGAUAGCAGUUGUCAUAUUCAUCCUCCUUUGCAUCACGGCCAUAGCCAUACGCAUUUAUA